AGCGGAGAGACACGGAAAAGGUCAAACUAAAGGCGAGGAGGAGAGGCGGCCGGAGUGGCGGGGGGCCGGGAGCGGGGCUCGACCCAGCCGCCCCUCGGCCGGAGGGGCCCGGCCCGGCCCGGCCCGGCCCCGCUCGCGGGACCAGCCGGAGCCCCCACCCCGGCACAGGAAAUGAACAUUUCGAAUAUAAUGAAAGGACCAGAUUGGAAAUACAUAAUGAACCCAAGAGUGUCCUUUUCAGCAUAUGUGAGAUUUAGCUGUACCAUUCUACCUUUACUGAGAGACUCAAUUCUUGUGGAAGGGGAAGAAUUCCCUCUUCGAUGCACCCACAGUGGUCCAAUGGAAUGGACAUGAGCAAUAACUCAAACAAGAACUGUUCAAAACAUUUUCAAUAAUGUCUUGACAUACAUAUUUUUGGAAAUUAUGUAUAAUGUGCUGUUAAUAAUUGUUGCCAUUGCCUCAUGACUGCAGCAGAUGUUUGUUGAAUGAAAGGAAACAUAAUCAAUAUCACCAGGCUAUACAAUUCUGAGAUGGCAUGAAUUAUAUCAGGCCUCAUAUUAAAUUCCAUACACACUUGGACAUAUACUAUUUGCACAUGAAUAGUUGUACUAGCAUUUCUAUUAUAAAGGUGUUUUUGGCAGGAAGAGUGUUAAUGUUCUGUUACAAGAAAAUAGCAGAUAGGAUAUAAGUACUGAGGUCAAAAGUCUGCUAUAAAUAUAACAGAGAUAAAUGGCAGAUGCACUGAUUCAAAAUGAACAUAAUGAAAAAUAAGGCAUUUAAAAUUAAACCCCUUCUCUCAUUUCAGUGAGUACAGUACGAGUCAUAGGGUUUAAGGCCAGAAGAGAUGACAAACUCAUCUAGUGUGACCUCCUACGUAUCACAAGCCACUAAUGUGUCCCACACACUACACCCAACUACCAAAAUUAGACCAAAGUCUAAUAGCCCACAGGAGACUAAACUAUUAUGUCCACAGGCAGAGAACAGGAAGGAUCAAGGUGCACCAAUGCCCAAGGCUCCUGCAAUGGCAGGGAAAUGAUUGAGAUAUAACUGGCAAGUGACCCUCACUCGAUGCUGCAGAGGAAGGCAAAAAACCUGCCAAUCUGA